ACGAACGCUGGCGGCAUGCCUAACACAUGCAAGUCGCACGAGACCUUCGGGUCUAGUGGCGCACGGGUGCGUAACGCGUGGGAACCUGCCCUUAGGUUCGGAAUAACUCCCCGAAAGGGGUGCUAAUACCGGAUAAUGUCUUCGGACCAAAGAUUUAUCGCCUUUGGAUGGGCCCGCGUUGGAUUAGCUAGUUGGUAGGGUAAAAGCCUACCAAGGCGACGAUCCAUAGCUGGUCUGAGAGGAUGAUCAGCCACACUGGGACUGAGACACGGCCCAGACUCCUACGGGAGGCAGCAGUGGGGAAUAUUGGACAAUGGGCGAAAGCCUGAUCCAGCAAUGCCGCGUGAGUGAUGAAGGUCUUAGGGUUGUAAAGCUCUUUUACCCGGGAUGAUAAUGACAGUACCGGGAGAAUAAGCUCCGGCUAACUCCGUG
rnacentral:rRNA from 1 species